rnacentral:rRNA from 1 species
AUCGAACGCUGGCGGCAGGCCAAACACAUGCAAGUCGCGCGGAGCGGCGGACGGGUGCGUAAUGCCUAGGAAUCUGCCAGGUAGCGGGGGAUGACGUUCGGCAACGGGCGCUAAUACCGCAUACUAUCAGAUGAGCCUAGGUCGGAUUAGCUAGUUGGUGGGGUAAAGGCCUACCAAGGCGACUAUCCGUAACUGGUCUGAGAGGAUGAUCAGUCACACUGGGACUGAGACACGGGCCAGACUCCUACGGGAGGCAGCAGUGGGGAGUAUUGGACAAUGGGCUAAAGUCUGAUCCAGCCAUGCCGCUUGUGUGAAGAAGGUCUUCGGAUUGUAAAGCACUUUCAGUGAGGAGGCGUUACCAGCAAAAUAAGCACCUGCUAACUUCGUGCCAGCAGCCGCGGUAAUAC